UCUAAAUAUGGCAGAUUAGUGCAAUGUAUUUAAGCUUCAUAUAUAAAGUAAUUUACUUUUAUUAGAAA
rnacentral:tRNA from 1 species